GAUGAACGCUGGCGGCGUGCCUAAUACAUGCAAGUCGAGCGAACGGACGAGAAGCUUGCUUUUCUGAUGUUAGCGGCGGACGGGUGAGUAACACGUGGAUAACCUACCUAUAAGACUGGGAUAACUUCGGGAAACCGGAGCUAAUACCGGAUAAUAUUUUGAACCGCAUGGUUCAAAAGUGAAAGACGGUCUUGCUGUCACUUAUAGAUGGAUCCGCGCUGCAUUAGCUAGUUGGUAAGGUAACGGCUUACCAAGGCGACGAUGCAUAGCAGACCUGAGAGGGUGAUCGGCCACACUGGAACUGAGACACGGUCCAGACUCCUACGGGAGGCAGCAGUAGGGAAUCUUCCGCAAUGGGCGAAAGCCUGACGGAGCAACGCCGCGUGAGUGAUGAAGGUCUUCGGAUCGUAAAACUCUGUUAUUAGGGAAGAACAUAUGUGUAAGUAACUGUGCACAUCUUGACGGUACCUAAUCAGAAAGCCACGGCUAACUACGUG
rnacentral:rRNA from 1 species